rnacentral:rRNA from 1 species
GAGUUUGAUUAUGGCUCAGGAUGAACGCUAGCGGCAGGCUUAACACAUGCAAGUCGAGGGGCAUCGAGAUGUAGCAAUACAUUGUCGGCGACCGGCGGACGGGUGCGUAACGCGUGAGCAACCUUCCCGUAUCAGGGGGAUAACCGAUGGAAACGUCGCCUAAUACCCCAUAACAACACAUGUCUCCUGACGUGUGUUUGAAAGAUUCGUCAGAUACGGCUGGGCUCGCGUGACAUUAGCUGGUUGGUGAGGUAACGGCUCACCAAGGCAACGAUGUCUAGGGGUUCUGAGAGGAAGAUCCCCCACACUGGAACUGAGACACGGUCCAGACUCCUACGGGAGGCAGCAGUGAGGAAUAUUGGUCAAUGGGCGCAAGCCUGAACCAGCCAUGCCGCGUGAAGGAAUAAGGUCCUAUGGAUCGUAAACUUCUUUUGAGCGGGAGCAAUAAGGUCUACGUGUAGACCGAUGAGAGACCGUCGAAUAAGCAU